ACGUAGGGCGCAAGCGUUGUCCGGAAUUAUUGGGCGUAAAGAGCUCGUAGGCGGUUUGUCGCGUCUGGUGUGAAAUCUCCCGGCUCAACUGGGAGGGUGCGGCGGAAACUGGCAGGCUAGAGUGCGGAAUGGGAGAGCGGAAUUCGUGGUGUAGCGGUGAAAUGCGUAGAUAUCACGAGGAACACCGGAGGUGUAGACGGCCAGCUGGACAGGUACUGACGCUGAGGCACGAAAGCGUGGGGAGCGAACAGGA
rnacentral:rRNA from 1 species